UGGGGAAUUUUGGACAAUGGGCGAAAGCCUGAUCCAGCAAUGCCGCGUGUGUGAAGAAGGCCUUCGGGUUGUAAAGCACUUUUGUCCGGAAAGAAAUCCUUGGCUCUAAUACAGUCGGGGGAUGACGGUACCGGAAGAAUAAGCACCGGCUAACUACGUGCCAGCAGCCGCGGUAAUACGUAGGGUGCAAGCGUUAAUCGGAAUUACUGGGCGUAAAGCGUGCGCAGGCGGUUUGCUAAGACCGAUGUGAAAUCCCCGGGCUCAACCUGGGAACUGCAUUGGUGACUGGCAGGCUAGAGUAUGGCAGAGGGGGGUAGAAUUCCACGUGUAGCAGUGAAAUGCGUAGAGAUGUGGAGGAAUACCGAUGGCGAAGGCAGCCCCUGGCCAAGUACUGACGCUCAUGCACGAAAGCGUGGGGAGCAAACAGGAUUAGAUACCCUGGUAGUCCACGCCCUAAACGAUGUCAACUAGUUGUUGGGGAUUCAUUUCCUUAGUAACGUAGCUAACGCGUGAAGUUGACCGCCUGGGGAGUACGGUCGCAAGAUUAAAACUCAAAUGAAUUGACGGGGUCAUAGCUGUUUCCU
rnacentral:rRNA from 1 species